rnacentral:rRNA from 1 species
UACGAAGGGGGCUAGCGUUGCUCGGAAUUACUGGGCGUAAAGCGCACGUAGGCGGCUUUCUAAGUCGGGGGUGAAAUCCUGGAGCUCAACUCCAGAACUGCCUUCGAUACUGGAAGCUCGAGUCCGGGAGAGGUGAGUGGAACUGCGAGUGUAGAGGUGAAAUUCGUAGAUAUUCGCAAGAACACCAGUGGCGAAGGCGGCUCACUGGCCCGGUACUGACGCUGAGGUGCGAAAGCGUGGGGAGCAACAGGG